UAAAAAUAAAAUAAAUUAGAAUCAUAAGAUUUUAUUUAUUUUUUUUCUUUUUUUAAAUCUGUGUAGUUUGCAACAAGAUGUCUGACUAGAUGCAGCUAGGAGGAACACAUACCACAUAGGAAAGAGGACAUUGGAAAGACUGUGCACUCUGAGAUCUUCAGAGGACAGGUUAUGCUGAUCCAAGUAGUGGGCUACCACAGCCUUGGGCAGCUCCACUCCUGUGGCUUUGCAGGGUACAGCCCCACUCCUGGAUGCUUCCAUGGGCCGGCAUCAAGUGUCUGCAGUGUUUCCAGGAAACCAAAGAGAAAAUAAACUCCUCUUGAAGACAUACAGGAAACCUUGCCUGAUAUACAAAUAUAAUAACCUUUAAAAAUCUACACAGGCCUGAGAUGUUUGAAAGACUUUUGUAUCUGCUUGCCUUACUUGUUCUUGAUUUUAUCAAGGAGGUAAGUCACCUUGACUCGACCAAAUACUGUGAAAGGUGUUCAAAGGUAGAAAGAACUGCUUUCCAUGAAAUGAUAUUUU
rnacentral:lncRNA from 1 species